rnacentral:rRNA from 1 species
UUGGAGGGCAACGUCUGGUGCCAGCAGCCGCGGUAAUUCCAGCUCCAAUAGCGUAUACUAAAGUUGUUGCAGUUAAAAAGCUCGUAGUUGAAUUUCGAGAUCAAACUGUUGGUCGUGCCUUGGUACGUACUGGCAUUAUUGAUUUCUCCCUUCUGAAGAACCACGAUGUCAUUAAUUUGGUGUCUUGGGGAAUCAGGACUGUUACUUUGAAAAAAUUAGAGUGUUUAAAGCAGGCUCACGCUUGAAUACAUUAGCAUGGAAUAAUGAAAUAGGACGUUUGAUUCUAUUUUGUUGGUUUCUAGGAUUGACGUAAUGAUUAAUAGGGAUAGUUGGGGGCAUUAGUAUUCAAUUGUCAGAGGUGAAAUUCUUGGAUUUAUUGAAGACUAACUACUGCGAAAGCAUUUGCCAAGGAUGUUUUCAUUAAUCAAGAACGAAAGUUAGGGGAUCGAAGACGAUCAGAUACCGUCGUAGUCUUAACCAUAAACUAUGCCGACUAGGGAUCGGAUGAUGUUAAUUUUUUAAUGACUCAUUCGGCGCCUUACGGGAAACCAAAGUGUUUGGGUUC